GCCUGGAUGGCUCAGUUGGUUAGAGCGCAGGUCUCAUAUUUCUAUAUGACCAUCUACGGAAUGGGUAAUCCUGAGGUCAUGAGUUCGAUCCUCAUUCCGGGCA
rfam:Trametes pubescens strain FBCC735 TRAPTBscaffold_1279, whole genome shotgun sequence.